UACGUAGGCAGCAAGCGUUGUUCGGAGUUACUGGGCGUAAAGGGUGUGUAGGCGGUUGUUUAAGUUUGGUGUGAAAUCUCCCGGCUCAACUGGGAGGGUGCGCCGAAUACUGAAUGACUCGAGUGUGGGAGAGGUGAGUGGAAUUCUCGGUGUAGCGGUGAGAUGCGUAGAUAUCGAGAGGAACACCUGCGGCGAAGGCGGGUUGCUGGGCCGACACUGACGCUGAUGCGCGAAAGCCAGGGGAGCGAACGGG
rnacentral:rRNA from 1 species